AACCAACAAAAUCACAUCUCCAGUGAACGCAAUGAGAGCUUUUUGCAUACAAGUCAUACGUGAUCAACCAUCUGCUCAAAGGACACAAAGAACAUUUGGCUGCAGCUGUUACUAUUUACACAAAAGAACUGAUAUAUGAGCUUCACACCCCAACUCUAUUCAUCAUUCAUGUUGUUGGACCCUAUCCAUCUUCCUACACACACCUGUUCUUUUUGAGUACAUGU